rnacentral:rRNA from 1 species
GUACGGAACCCUUUAGAGAUAGAGGGGUGCUCGAAAGAGAGCCGUAACACAGGUGCUGCAUGGCUGUCGUCAGCUCGUGUCGUGAGAUGUUGGGUUAAGUCCCGCAACGAGCGCAACCCUUGUCAUUAGUUGCUACAUUCAGUUGGGCACUCUAAUGAGACUGCCGGUGACAAGCCGGAGGAAGGUGGGGAUGACGUCAAGUCCUCAUGGCCCUUAUAGGUGGGGCUACACACGUCAUACAAUGGCUGGUACAAAGGGUUGCCAACCCGCGAGGGGGAGCCAAUCCCAUAAAGCCAGUCGUAGUCCGGAUCGUAGUCUGCAACUCGACUACGUGAAGUCGGAAUCGCUAGUAAUCGUGGAUCAGAAUGUCACGGUGAAUACGUUCCCGGGUCUU